rnacentral:rRNA from 1 species
CCUACGGGUGGGCAGCAGUGGGGAAUAUUGCACAAUGGGGGAAACCCUGAUGCAGCGACGCCGCGUGAGCGAUGAAGUAUUUCGGUAUGUAAAGCUCUAUCAGCAGGGAAGAAAAUGACGGUACCUGACUAAGAAGCCCCGGCUAACUACGUGCCAGCAGCCGCGGUAAUACGUAGGGGGCAAGCGUUAUCCGGAUUUACUGGGUGUAAAGGGAGCGUAGACGGCUUGGCAAGCCAGAUGUGAAAGGCUGGGGCUCAACCCCAGGACUGCAUUUGGAACUGUCAUGCUAGAGUGUCGGAGAGGCAGGCGGAAUUCCUAGUGUAGCGGUGAAAUGCGUAGAUAUCACGCAGAACCCCGAUUGCGAAGGCAGCCUUCCGGCGCCCUACUGACGCUGAGGCACGAAAGUGCGGGGAUCGAACAGGAUUAGAUACCCCUGUAGUC